CAAUGGAUGAAAUUGAAGAUAAAAUGAGCGAGAAGAGAAUAAUAACGAACUCGGAUUCCGGUGGCCUUCGUCAGAGACUUUGAUGUGCAACAAACAACCUUCAAUUUCGUAGGAAAAGUAGGAAACAUCGUCGAAAGUGGUCCUUCCAUUCCAGCAUUAUUCAGCUUCAAUCUUGAGAAAUUGAUGGGCCACCUUCUGAAUCUACUCCAUGGAACAUUUUUGUUAAACAAUUUCUGCUUCUUUGACUGCCCUAGAUUGCUCAAACAAAAAAAAUGUUCCUAUAAUGGAAAAGUUGCAAAAUUUCAGAAAUAUAAUGGUGCCUCACUUGCUCUGCAAGGCAAUGGGGAGUUUGCGGAUCAUGUUGCUAGCUCGUUUAACCAUAAGGUACUAUAUUGUCUAUGUCCCUUUUGUGCUACAAUCUUAUGUUUUUAUAAUUCACCAUUGUAAAAUUCAGUUCCUUAUAAUAUGUGCUUGAACUUGAUUUCAUAUUUUUUGAAAUUUAAUACAAUAAGCAUGCUUCUGGAGAAGUGCCAGAAUUUUCUUUGCUCUGAUAAAUGAUAACACUUAAGAAGGAAAAGAGAGAGAAUGAAAGAGGGUGGAAGACAUAGAGAAAGCAA